UACAGAGGGUGCUAGCGUUGUUCGGAAUUAUUGGGCGUAAAGCGCGUGUAGGCGGCCUUGCAAGUUGGGUGUGAAAGCCCUCGGCUUAACCGAGGAAGUGCGCCCAAAACUACAAGGCUUGAGUGCCGGAGAGGGUGGCGGAAUUCCCGGUGUAGAGGUGAAAUUCGUAGAUAUCGGGAGGAACACCAGUGGCGAAGGCGGCCACCUGGACGGUAACUGACGCUGAGACGCGAAAGCGUGGGGAGCAAACAGG
rnacentral:rRNA from 1 species